AUUGGGUAGUAUGGCACUAUGGCUGAUGGUAUAAUGUGGCUGAUAAUUAAGAAGCCAAGAAGAUUCAGCAUCAACUGGUUCAUCAAUUGGGCUGCAAUAUACAUAGGAGUGUGCAUUAUGUUGGCUUCUACUAUUGGUGGCUUGAGGAAUAUUAUUGCUGAUGCAUCCAGUUAUAGUUUCUACACCUAAACUAUAUGAUGCUAUUGCAAUAUGGCAAAUAUAAUCAAUCCAGUAAAUCAAGCUGGAUUAGAUUAUCUAAUUUAAUUAGGUCUUUGUUACUUUGAGCAGCUGUAGGCCUUUUUUCACAA